rnacentral:rRNA from 1 species
UACGUAGGGAGCAAGCGUUGUCCGGAAUCAUUGGGCGUAAAGCGCGCGUAGGUGGCCAUUUAAGUCCGCUGUGAAAGUCAAAGGCUCAACCUUUGAAAGCCGGUGGAUACUGGGUGGCUAGAGUACGGAAGAGGCGAGUGGAAUUCCUGGUGUAGCGGUGAAAUGCGUAGAUAUCAGGAGGAACACCCGUGGCGAAGGCGGCCUUCUGGGUCGACCCUGACGCUGAGGCGCGAAAGCGUGGGGAGCGAACGGG